rnacentral:rRNA from 1 species
UACGUAGGGGGCAAGCGUUAUCCGGAUUUACUGGGUGUAAAGGGAGCGUAGACGGUCUGAUAAGUCAGAUGUGAAAGCCUGGGGCUCAACCCCGGGACUGCAUUUGAAACUAUCGGACUAGAGUGCAGGAGAGGUAAGUGGAAUUCCUAGUGUAGCGGUGAAAUGCGUAGAUAUUAGGAGGAACACCAGUGGCGAAGGCGGCUUACUGGA